AAAUACACCUCAUCCCAACAAGUUUGUUAUUGUUUUCUAAUAACAUAGAACUAAUGACAGGUGGCUCUAUGAGGUCUGCUUUGGUGACCCUCUUCAUCUUUGCCAUCGUACUCUCUCCGAUUUCAACCCCAGAGGCAGCUCGAUUCGUUUUUCUAGAUACAACUCCUAUAUGUCCAGCUUGUGUAUGCUGCGCACCGGCACCACAAGGCUCUUGUUGCGAUUGUUGUGCUACACCAAUUGAAACUCAGUCCCAGGAAGGGUCACCAUGAUACAGCAAAUAUUUAUACAUAUAUAUACCUGGCUUCAUGUCACGGUGAAGGAAAAAUAAUGAUCAUUUGUAUAUAGAAAGCUGAACACGGGCUUCCCCUUCUUGGAAACGAUAUGUCCCAUCUUGAAUAAAACUAUAUGUUAUAACAGAUCAUGAUCCAGUAUUUGACAUUUUA